ACUUAACCGAAGAGUCCCAUAAUAGGACGAAACGGCCGUCCAGU
rnacentral:hammerhead_ribozyme from 1 species